rnacentral:rRNA from 1 species
CAGCACCUCAAGUGGUCAGGAUGAUUAUUGGGCCUAAAGCAUCCGUAGCCGGCGCUGUAAGUUUUCGGUUAAAUCUGUACGCUCAACGUACAGGCUGCCGGGAAUACUGCAGCGCUAGGGAGUGGGAGAGGUAGACGGUACUCGGUAGGAAGGGGUAAAAUCCUUUGAUCUAUUGAUGACCACCUGUGGCGAAGGCGGUCUACCAGAACACGUCCGACGGUGAGGGAUGAAAGCUGCGGGAGCAAACCGGAUUAGAGACCCGAGUAGUCC